UAAAGUAUAGCCUCUAAAGUAUAGCCCCAAGGUUGGGCAAAGAGAAUUCUGGGAAAUGUAGUUUACUUAUUAUAGGAAUACCUUGCCAAGGAGUGGAGGAGUUUGGGGUUCUGGGAACUGUCUCACAGGAGAGAUACGAAACUUUCCAGGGCACCCCAGACUUGGCUGAAGGCAAGCCAUUUCUCCUGCUGCUGGCAAUGGCUCUCGGGCAGGACUUAAAGGCUCAAGGAAGCUGAGUGGACCACUAGAUCUUACCACGUUGUGCUUCUGGGGAGCAGAGCAAACUUCAGGAGUGCUGAGCGACCUCCAUAAACACCAAGUGACCUCUGGGGUGACAGGAACCGUGGCCCUGACUGCACCAUGAAGAGCAAACAUCUGAGUCUUGGAUCUGCUGGCACCUGGAAGAUUGAUCACCAGAGACACAGCUCUAACUACACCAAUCAGAGGAAAAGAUGGUAGACAAGGCACUGUGUUCUGAAGCCGAGAUUAUGUCUCUUCACCUCCAAGCGGAAUGAAACGGCCUUUAUUUGUAAAGGUCUAACUCACAAGGACAAACUUAGAGGCCAAAGCUUCUGUGUUUUAUUUGGUCUUAAAACUUUAAAUGGAUGCUCACAAUAAAAAAAUAAAUAAA